CAAAGAACAUUGUUCGGAGAUGUUCAAGGGAAAGUAAAAGUUCUAAGUGACAAGUUCCCUGUUAUCCGUGACUUGCUUGGUUCCAUCAGAAGGCGGCGGUCGAGGGACACUCUAAUUCUGUCAGCAGUAAUUGCUGCUUGUACGUUGUUCCUUAUCAUCUAUUGGCU